GAUGAACGCUGGCGGCGUGCCUAAUACAUGCAAGUCGAGCGAACGGACGAGAAGCUUGCUUCGCUGAUGUUAGCGGCGGACGGGUGAGUAACACGUGGAUAACCGACCUAUAAGACUGGGAUAACUUCGGGAAACCGGAGCUAAUACCGGAUAAUAUUUUGAACCGCAUGGUUCAAAAGUGAAAGACGGUCUUGCUGUCCCUUAUAGAUGGAUCCGCGCUGCAUUAGCUAGUUGGUAAGGUAACGGCUUACCAAGGCAACGAUGCAUAGCCGACCUGAGAGGGUGAUCGGCCACACUGGAACUGAGACACGGUCCAGACUCCUACGGGAGGCAGCAGUAGGGAAUCUUCCGCAAUGGGCGAAAGCCUGACGGAGCAACGCCGCGUGUGUGAUGAAGGUCUUCGGAUCGUAAAGCUCUGUUAUUAGGGAAGAACAUCUGUGUGAGUAACUGUGGCCAUCUUGACGGUACCUACAGAGAAAGCCCCGGCUAACUACGUG
rnacentral:rRNA from 1 species